UGCGUGCAAAUCACGUUGAAACACCGGAUCUCGAACGAUCACCGAAGUUAAGCAACGAUACGCCUGGUCAGUACCUAGAUGGGUGACCGUUUGGGAAUAUCAGGUGCUAUA